rnacentral:rRNA from 1 species
GAACGGGUGAGGAACACGUGAGAAACCUGCCUCGGAUUUUGGGAUAACAAAUGGAAACGUUUGCUAAUACCAAAUAACGUCGGAGAGUCACAUGACUUUCUGACGAAAGGAAUUCCGAUUCGAGAGGGUCUCGCGGCCUAUCAGCUUGUUGGCGGGGUAAUGGCCCACCAAGGCAACGACGGGUAGCUGGUCUGAGAGGAUGGUCAGCCACACUGGGACUGAGACACGGCCCAGACUCCUACGGGAGGCAGCAGUGGGGAAUCUUGCGCAAUGGGCGAAAGCCUGACGCAGCAACGCCGCGUGCGGGAAGAAGGCUUUCGGGCUGUAAACCGCUUUCAGCAGGAACGAAAAUGACGGUACCUGCAGAAGAAGGAGCGGCCAACUAUGUGCCAGCAGCCGCGGUGAUACAUAGGCUUCAAGCGUUGUCCGGAUUUAUUGGGCGUAAAGAGUUCGUAGGCGGUCGAGUAAGUCGGGUGUGAAAAUUCUGGGCUCAACCCAGAGACGCCACCCGAUACUGCUUAACUUGAGUUCGAUAGGGGAGUGGGGAAUUCCUAGUGUAGCGGUGAAAUGCGCAGAUAUUAGGAGGAACACCGGUGGCGAAGGCGCCACUCUGGAUCGACACUGACGCUGAGGAACGAAAGCAUGGGUAGCAAACAGGAUUAGAUACCCUGGUAGUCCAUGCGGUAAAC